UCACCCUUAUACCGGUCUUAGAUAUUCAUUCUUCCUGAGUUUGUUACCCUUAUACCGGUAACACCUCUUUCUUUGUUGCUUCUCCAGGAGAGUCUCUUUGUUAGACCUUCUCCAGUGGAGUUUCCUGUUGUGAUUUUACCCUUUUGCUGUAUUGGCGUUUUCCCCAAUAUAUGCAUUUUCCCCUGCAGGGAGAUUCUUU
rnacentral:lncRNA from 1 species